CAAAGUAUAGUUUAAAAAAAAAUAAUAGCUUUGGGAGUUAUAGAUAAAAGUAUUAAAUCUUUUUACUUUGA
rnacentral:tRNA from 1 species